rnacentral:rRNA from 1 species
CCUACGGGGGGCUGCAGUGGGGAAUAUUGCGCAAUGGGGGAAACCCUGACGCAGCAACGCCGCGUGGGUGAUGAAGGUUUUCGGAUUGUAAAGCCCUGUCUUUGGGGACGAUAAUGACGGUACCCAAGGAGGAAGCCACGGCUAACUACGUGCCAGCAGCCGCGGUAAUACGUAGGUGGCAAGCGUUGUCCGGAAUUACUGGGCGUAAAGAGUAUGUAGGCGGAUAUUUAAGUCAGAUGUGAAAUCCCCGGGCUUAACCUGGGAGCUGCAUUUGAUACUGAAUAUCUAGAGUGCAGGAGAGGAAAGUGGAAUUCCUAGUGUAGCGGUGAAAUGCGUAGAGAUUAGGAAGAACACCAGUGGCGAAGGCGACUUUCUGGACUGUAACUGACGCUGAGAUACGAAAGCGUGGGGAGCGAACAGGCUUAGAUACCCCUGUAGUC